rnacentral:rRNA from 1 species
CCUACGGGGGGCAGCAGUGAGGAAUAUUGGUCAAUGGACGAGAGUCUGAACCAGCCAAGUAGCGUGAAGGAUGACUGCCCUAUGGGUUGUAAACUUCUUUUAUAUGGGAAUAAAACAGGGUAUGCAUACCCUCUUGUAUGUACCAUAUGAAUAAGGAUCGGCUAACUCCGUGCCAGCAGCCGCGGUAAUACGGAGGAUGCGAGCGUUAUCCGGAUUUAUUGGGUUUAAAGGGUGCGCAGGCGGAGGCACAAGUCAGCGGUAAAAUCGCGGGGCUCAACCCCGCUCCGCCGUUGAAACUGUGUCCCUUGAGUGCGCGAAGGGUAGGCGGAAUGCGUGGUGUAGCGGUGAAAUGCUUAGAGAUCAUACAGAACACCGAUUGCGAAGGCAGCUUACCAAUCUAUAUCUGACGUUGAGGCACGAAAGCGUGGGGAGCAAACAGGAUUAGAUACCCGAGUAGUC